rnacentral:rRNA from 1 species
AUUGAACGCUGGCGGCAUGCUUUACACAUGCAAGUCGAACGGUAACAGGCCGCAAGGUGCUGACGAGUGGCGAACGGGUGAGUAAUGCAUCGGAACGUGCCCAGUCGUGGGGGAUAACGCAGCGAAAGCUGCGCUAAUACCGCAUACGAUCUAUGGAUGAAAGCGGGGGACCGAAAGGCCUCGCGCGAUUGGAGCGGCCGAUGUCAGAUUAGGUAGUUGGUGGGGUAAAGGCUCACCAAGCCAACGAUCUGUAGCUGGUCUGAGAGGACGACCAGCCACACUGGGACUGAGACAAGGCCCAGACUCCUACGGGAGGCAGCAGUGGGGAAUUUUGGACAAUGGGCGGAAGCCUGAUCCAGCAAUGCCGCGUGCAGGAAGAAGGCCUUCGGGUUGUAAACUGCUUUUGUACGGAACGAAACGGCUCUGGUUAAUACCUGGGGCUAAUGACGGUACCGUAAGAAUAAGCACCGGCUAACUACGUGCCAGCCGCCGCCGUAACAC